UUUUGUCUCAAGCGCCUGAUACAUGUCAGUCCUUAGUUUCGCCGUUCAGAGUUUUGGUGACUUUAAUUUAUUAAGAGUUUUUUCUAGCAAUAAAGUUGCGUUUUGAGUUCCAGUCCCGUCUUUGAGAGUCCUGCAUUUUGGGUCCUUUUUACUGCCUGCCUGCACACAGCCUAACAUGAUAAUAUAGGUAUAAGUGAUUCCAGAGUACCAAAGAUCUGGUUCAGUUCUUGCUCGGUCAUGAUGGAUAGCUUGAGCAUUGGGUCGUGGUAGGCCUACAGCACACGCAUAAAGAAACACAGAGGUUGUGCCGCUCCCAGUCGGACGUCAAAUGUCUCGCUCCACAGCUUGCUGUCCCGACGCUUGGAGGCCGGAGCAGCUGCGGUUGAAACCCUCGGGGCAGUCAUGGAGGACGAAGGGUUUGAGAGUGUCGCUGAGAUAACACGUGUCUUUGUCGAGGAGGAAGGAGGAGGAGGAGCAGCUCUCUCUGCCUCAUUACGAAGACUGAUGUGUCUGGCCAAUCCUCUUCAGCGGCGUUGUCUUGACGGGGGGCAGCAGGCUGGCCAGAGAUGCUACCCGGGAUACAGGCUUACUGCGCUUGGUGCUGGGCUCCUGGAAGGGGUGAACAGAGCCACAUGGUUACAUUAUCUCACAAAAUCAACACACCUGGGAUACAAACGACCCAAAGGGUUAACAAGGACACCAAUUAAUCAACCAAACAUCAAUACCAGCAGACAUUUUUCUUGUUUUAUAUCAGCCAGUCAGAGGUUUCUGUGUGUGCAAAUGUUCUAGUUGAUUGUGGGAAAGCCGACUCUGGUUUGUUGACAUAUUAUACAAUAGCAUGACUCAAAAGUCUUUCCCUCAGUACCAGACUUUAUCACACACGCAGUCAUGUUUUACUAACUUAUGUCACGCACACACUAAACAGGACGGUUGUUACGGUCACUGUGUGAGACUGGAUGAUCAUGGAGACAAGAGGCUGUUGUGGUUUCAUGUAAAGCUUAAAUUUAACAUGGAUUUUGCUUUAGCCAAUUAUUUUUAUAACACUGAAAUCCCUACAAAUUCAUGUAUUACGUGUAGCAGCUGAUCUCAAAGCGAAUGUGGACAUCCAUGUUAGUUCUAUAUUAUUGAGAUUACAUGUAGAUUGUUGUUUGUAAAUAAAAAAAAAUAAAAACAAUUUUUAGUGCAGUGACACUUUGGAGUCAAUGGAAUAAGUUUUCAAACAUAUCUUUAAAUAAAUUUUCAUCAAAGAAUGACA